AGUGCUCAUUAGGCCCAAGUGCUGGCACUCAGCUAAUGAGGCUCCAGGCAGCUUCUCACUGCUGAAAAGCCCAGGAGUGGGGGUAGUGCUGUUGUGGUGAGACUGGAGCUUGAGAUCUGUGUGAUGGAGGCACAGUAGACAGCAGAACUGGGGCUCCCAGGAAGAGGAUGCUGCCUAGUGCUGGGGUUCAUGUACAAGGAGAAGUACCGCAGGAUGACUGAAGUCCCAAGGAAAAAUCGGAGCCAACCCUCUUAUCCCAGGAGAAGCAACUUGAGGGUGCCACCAUCUUCUCAUUCUUCACCCAAGGAGGUUUGGACAGGAUGCAGGACCUUGGCAUCAGCUUGGAAUUGGGGCAUCCUGCUGUGUUUUGCUAAGAGCUCCCUGGAAAGUAACCCACUGGGAUCAACUGCAGCUGCUUUCCAAAGGAUACUGCAAGAUCCUGUGCAAGUUUUGCACUGCUGACUCUGCUGUCAUCACCAAUAAAGUGCUGUGUGCUCCAGGGCUUGGCAGCUCUGUGAUAGCAAAGCUUGCCUUACCCCAAGCCCUGUCACUCACGUCUGCCCACAAAAACACAGUCGCAAUUGAUUAGGGCAGGCAUCUUCCCAUAUGAGCCACAUUGGGCCUUUUGUUCUUCAUCUGACAGAGGCUCUUGAGACAGAAGAGGAGAGUAGAUGGAGCAGGCACUGGAGUGGUUGUUAGAGAUGCAGUGUGAUCAACAGAGCUCUCAUUGACACCUCUUCUGUGUCUGUUAGCUCAGCAGGGUGGGGAUGAAAGUUAAAUCCCAGGAAAAACAGCAAACACAUCACUGCUUUGUCUGUGUCAGAUGCAAGGGAUCUGUGUGCUCAGGUUUGGGUGGUGGGAAGCUUCUGCCUUUGGGUUCCUCUCUGCCCGUGGGGAGGCAGGCUGGGUUUUGUCCUUGCUGCUGAGAUGGUCUGCUGUGCUUGUAGUGCAGCUGAGCAGCUCCACUGGUUAUAAAGUUGGUACCAAGCUGGUGAGAUGAUACGACUGUAGAAGGGUUUGAGUUGGAAAGGGCCUCAAAGAUCACCUGGUUCCAGACCUGCUGCUGCAGGCAGGGCUGCCAGUCACUAAAUUGGGCACAAGAUCAGGUUGCCCAGAGUCUCAUCCAACACAGGCUGUGGUUCUAUGGUAACGGUGGUGGUGUAGCAGUUAAUGAUCUAAGGAUGU